GCCUCUGUCUUCUGGCUUCCUUCCUAGUUUGGCUGUGGUCCCUUUUUAAAAGUAGUUUUAAAGUUCUAUGCACGAUGUGGUAUAGUCACGUUGCCCACGUUAGCUGCCUGUAAGUGUACUCCUGCGUGGUUUUAAAUAUACUGUUUUGGGUAACCUUCACCAACACCUAUGACCCAACCUUCAUCAUCCUCAGUGAGCACUGAACCCAUUAAACACUAAGUCCUCACUCCCCAUCUCUCCAGUCAUUUACUUUUCCAUCCCUGUGAAGUUCUUGUUAGGUACCAUGAGCAGGUAGAGUCAGCGUUUGUCCCUCUGUGCCUGGUUUCUUCCGCUCAGCAUCAUGCUUUCAGAUCCUUCCGUGAUGAAACACACAUCCAAGUUCACUGCUCUGUAAGGCUGAACACUAACUAUGCUGGUUGUCUUUACUCCCAGCACGUGGAGGCAGAGGCAGGAGAAUCUCUGUGAGUUGAGGCCAGCCUGGUCCACUACUUUUUUCUGGUUUCAUGUCAUGGCAAUUGAGAACAAUACUGCUGGAACCUGGGGUGAAAUGUCUGAGUCCUUGCUUCCAGUUCUUGGAUAUGCCGGAAGAGGAUUGCUGCAGCCCAUGGGACCAUGGGACUGAGCUUUUGAGAAAUUGUUGAACUGUUGUCCACAGAGAUUGCACUGUUUCAUGUUCCCACCAAUGAUAUACAAGGGUUCAAUUUCA